CGCUCCAUAUUAUUACUUUUUUCAAUGAAAAGGUUGUCUCAUCUGAAUAAGGAGUGAAAUAUGCACGGAUCAAGCACUGUUUACAAG